CAGCCGUAAACUAUGCGCGUUAGGUGUACUGGUGACCACGAGUCACCGGGGUGCCGAAGGGAAACCGUGAAACGUGCCGCCUGGGAAGUACGGUCGCAAGGCUGAAACUUAAAGGAAUUGGCGGGGAGCACCACAACGGGUGGAGCCUGCGGUUUAAUUGGACUCAACGCCGGGAAGCUCACCGGAUAGGACAGCAGAAUGAUUGCCGGGCUGAAGACCCUGCAUGACUAGCUGAGAGGUGGUGCAUGGCGUCAGUGACU
rnacentral:rRNA from 1 species